AAGGGUUUUUGGAGUUUAUAAGCAUAAAAUGUUUCUUUUAUUUAAAUUAACCACGGUUAAAGUUUGACCGUGGACCAUGGUUAAUUGGUUAUAGUAAUCGUACGUUUUCUAACGGGACGUGAGUCUUGAUGACUGUGUUGAAAGUUAAACUUGAUUUUGAAUCAAGUUUAAUUAUUGGAUCAAUUAUCCAAUAAUUAAUUAUGGCCAAAUUCAAGUUUUAGAAUUUUCUCUAGAAAUAUCAUCAUUUCCACCUCCUUAAAAGAUUCUAGAAAUUUUGUAGAAUCAUCUUCCACCUCCUUAAACAUAAAAAUCUAGAUACUCUAAUAGAAUAAUCUAGAUAAUUUGAAUAAUGUAAUCUAGAUCUUAUAUAAGAACUCUCUAGACUUACGAUUAAAAUAUUUUAGAUAUUUUGUAGUUUGGAGGCUAUAAAUACCUCCUCCUCCUCUCAAAUGUUGCAAUGUUGUGAAGUUGUCUUCAAGUUUAAAGCAAAGUAAUUAAAGUUCUAUUUCCAAAAAAACUCUCUCAAAACACUUAAACACUUUCUCCAUUACCUCUAAAAUAAUUUUACUCUAACAAAGUGGUAGCAGAACUUGAAGAUCCUAAAGAUGGCGAGUAACAAUGUUCCCUUCCAAGUCCCGGUGCUCACAAAGAGCAACUAUGAUAAUUGGAGUCUACAAAUGAAGGCUAUCCUAGGAGCACAUGACGUGUGGGAGAUAGUCGAGAAAGGUUUCAUUGAACCGGAGAAUGAAGGUAGUCUUUCUCAAACUCAAAAGGAUGGUUUGAGAGACUCAAGAAAGAGAGACAAGAAAGCUCUCUGUCUAAUCUAUCAAGGAUUAGAUGAAGAUACGUUCGAGAAGGUCGUUGAAGCUACGUCGGCGAAAGAAGCAUGGGAGAAGCUUCGAACCUCUUACAAAGGUGUCGAUCAAGUCAAGAAAGUACGUCUUCAAACUCUAAGAGGAGAAUUUGAAGCACUACAAAUGAAGGAAGGUGAACUCGUCUCCGACUACUUCUCAAGAGUGUUGACGGUUACUAAUAACCUUAAAAGAAACGGAGAGAAGCUAGAUGAUGUGAGAAUCAUGGAGAAAGUUCUUAGAUCAUUGGAUCUAAAAUUUGAGCAUAUUGUCACCGUCAUUGAAGAAACAAAAGAUUUAGAAGCUAUGACAAUAGAGCAACUUCUUGGGUCAUUACAAGCUUAUGAAGAAAAGAAGAAGAAGAAAGAAGAUAUCGUCGAACAAGUCCUCAAUAUGCGAAUUACAAAAGAAGAAAACGGCCAAAGUUACCAAAGAAGAGGUGGUGGUGAAGUACGAGGACGAGGUCGUGGUGGAUAUGGAAAUGGACGUGGUUGGAGGCCACAUGAAGACAACACAAACCAAAGAGGUGAAAACUCAUCAAGAGGUCGUGGGAAAGGACACCCAAAAUCAAGAUACGAUAAAUCAAGUGUCAAAUGCUACAAUUGUGGGAAGUUUGGACAUUAGGCUUCUGAAUGUAAAGCUCCUAGCAACAAAAAAUUUGAGGAGAAGGCCAACUACGUUGAAGAAAAAAUUCAAGAAGAAGACAUGUUAUUAAUGGCUAGCUACAAGAAAGAUGAACAAGAAGAGAAUCAUAAGUGGUACCUCGAUAGUGGUGCAAGUAAUCACAUGUGCGGGAGAAAAAGUAUGUUCGCGGAGCUUGAUGAAUCGGUGAGAGGAAAUGUGGCUUUAGGAGAUGAAUCGAAGAUGGAGGUAAAAGGUAAAGGAAACAUUCUCAUUCGAUUGAAGAAUGGAGAUCAUCAAUUUAUAUCCAACGUUUACUAUAUUCCGAGCAUGAAGACAAACAUCUUGAGCCUUGGACAACUCUUAGAGAAAGGUUAUGAUAUUAGAUUAAAAGAUAAUAACCUUUCAAUAAGAGACCAAGAAAGCAAUCUCAUUACCAAGGUGCCAAUGUCGAAAAAUAGAAUGUUUGUCCUCAACAUUCGAAAUGACAUUGCACAAUGUCUCAAGAUGUGUUACAAAGAGGAGUCUUGGCUAUGGCAUCUUCGAUUCGGACAUCUAAAUUUUGGAGGAUUGGAGUUGCUUUCAAGGAAGGAAAUGGUGAGAGGGCUACCUUGUAUAAAUCAUCCAAAUCAAGUGUGUGAAGGAUGUCUACUUGGAAAGCAAUUCAAAAUGAGCUUUCCAAAGGAGUCAAGUUCAAGAGCUCAAAAACCGUUGGAGCUAAUACAUACCGAUGUGUGUGGUCCGAUCAAGCCGAAAUCACUUGGUAAAAGUAAUUACUUCCUUCUCUCAAAUGUAUAACUCCCCAGGAAUUUCAAUUGCGCUUAUAUUCAUCCCAUUCUAAAACAAUUAGAUGAUGAUAAAAUUAACAAAGAUUGGGACUCCUAAUCGAAAAGGGAUAUUUAAUUAGGUUCCAUAAAAAAAAAAAAAGGCUUGAAAAAGAACCUUCUCCACUUUAUUCUUAAAAAGCCUCAUGCUUAUUCGAAAGCUUUGUUGUUUUUAGGAUCUGGAUCCAUUAUUCAUUCUUGAUUGAUGAUUUUUCAAGAAAAACAUGGGUAUAUUUUUUGAAAGAAAAAUCCGAGGUGUUCAAAAUUUUCAAAAAGUUUAAAGCCCAUGUUGAGAAGGAGAGUGGUCUUGUGAUCAAAACCAUGAGAUCCGACCGUGGAGGAGAAUUUACAUCCAAGGAGUUUCUUAAGUAUUGUGAAGACAACGGCAUUCGAAGACAAUUAACGGUGCCAAGAUCCCCUCAACAAAAUGGUGUAGCAGAAAGAAAGAAUAGAACAAUUCUUGAGAUGGCAAGGAGCAUGCUCAAAAGUAAGAGACUACCAAAAGAGUUGUGGGCGGAAGCGGUCGCGUGUGCGGUUUAUCUAUUAAAUCGAUCUCCAACAAAAAGUGUCUCCGGAAAAACACCACAAGAAGCUUGGAGCGGAAGAAAGCCCGGUGUUUCUCAUUUAAGAGUCUUUGGAAGUAUUGCUCAUGCUCAUGUACCGGAUGAGAAGCGGAGCAAACUAGAUGACAAAAGUGAGAAGUAUAUCUUCAUUGGUUAUGAUAACAACUCCAAAGGCUACAAGCUCUAUAAUCCCGAUACGAAGAAGACAAUUAUUAGUCGAAAUAUAGUGUUCGAUGAAGAAGGAGAAUGGGAUUGGAACUCAAAUGAAGAAGAUUAUAACUUCUUUCCACAUUUUGAAGAAGAUGAGCCGGAGCCAACAAGAGAGGAGCCACCAAGUGAAGAGCCUACUACACGACCAACUUCACUAACAAGUUCUCAAAUAGAAGAAAGUUCGAGUGAAAGGACUCCGCGUUUUAGAAGUAUACAAGAGCUCUAUGAGGUAACCGAAAAUCAAGAAAACCUUACCUUAUUUUGUUUAUUUGCGGAGUGCGAACCCAUGGAUUUCCAAGAAGCCAUUGAAAAGAAGACUUGGAGAAAUGCCAUGGAUGAAGAGAUCAAAUCAAUACAAAAGAAUGACACAUGGGAGUUAACUUCACUUCCAAAUGGACACAAGGCAAUUGGCGUGAAGUGGGUGUAUAAAGCAAAGAAAAACUCUAAAGGAGAAGUGGAAAGAUACAAAGCAAGAUUGGUUGCAAAAGGUUAUAGUCAAAGAGCCGGAAUUGACUAUGACGAGGUAUUUGCUCCCGUUGCUCGUCUAGAAACGGUUAGACUAAUCAUCUCACUAGCGGCUCAAAACAAGUGGAAGAUACAUCAAAUGGAUUUCAAGUUGGCCUUCUUAAAUGGAGAUUUUGAAGAAGAAGUUUACAUUGAGCAACCACAAGGCUACAUAGUCAAAGGUGAAGAAGACAAAGUCUUGAGGCUAAAAAAGGCGCUUUAUGGAUUAAAACAAGCCCCAAGAGCUUGGAAUACUCGAAUUGACAAGUAUUUCAAGGAGAAAGAUUUCAUCAAGUGUCCAUAUGAGCAUGCACUCUAUAUCAAAAUUCAAAAAGAAGAUAUAUUGAUCGCAUGCUUAUAUGUAGAUGAUUUGAUAUUCACGGGUAACAAUCCAAGCAUGUUCGAAGAAUUCAAGAAAGAGAUGACGAAGGAGUUCGAGAUGACGGACAUUGGAUUGAUGUCUUACUAUCUCGGAAUUGAAGUAAAACAAGAAGACAAUAGAAUAUUCAUAACUCAAGAAGGCUAUGCUAAGGAGGUACUUAAGAAGUUCAAGAUGGAUGACUCAAAUCCCGUUUGUACACCAAUGGAAUGCGGAAUCAAACUAUCAAAGAAAGAAGAAGGGGAAGGAGUGGAUCCAACAACCUUUAAGAGCUUGGUUGGAAGCUUGAGAUACUUAACAUGCACAAGGCCCGAUAUUUUAUAUGCGGUCGGAGUUGUUAGUCGUUACAUGGAGCAUCCAACAACAACUCAUUUCAAAGCGGCAAAAAGGAUUCUUCGCUAUAUCAAAGGUACCGUAAACUUUGGCUUACAUUAUUCAACUACUAGUGAUUACAAGCUUGUUGGAUAUAGCGAUAGCGAUUGGGGUAGAGACGUAGAUGACCGAAAGAGUACAAGUGGUUUUGUGUUUUACAUUGGAGACACGGCUUUCACAUGGAUGUCGAAGAAACAACCAAUUGUCACUCUAUCCACUUGUGAAGCGGAGUAUGUAGCGGCUACGUCAUGUGUAUGCCAUGCUAUUUGGUUAAGAAACCUCUUGAAGGAGUUAAGCUUACCACAAGAGGAACCAACGAAGAUCUUUGUGGACAACAAGUCGGCAAUAGCUUUGGCGAAGAACCCGGUCUUCCAUGAUCGAAGUAAACACAUUGACACACGCUAUCACUACAUUAGAGAGUGUGUUAGCAAAAAGGACGUGCAAUUGGAGUAUGUGAAGACACAUGAUCAAGUAGCCGAUAUUUUUACCAAGCCUCUCAAGCGUGAAGACUUUAUCAAGAUGAGGAGUUUGCUUGGAGUAGCAAAAUCAAGUUUAAGAGGGGGUGUUGAAAGUUAAACUUGAUUUUGAAUCAAGUUUAAUUAUUGGAUCAAUUAUCCAAUAAUUAAUUAUGGCCAAAUCCAAGUUCUAGAGUUUUCUCUAGAAAUAUCAUCAUUUCCACCUCCUUAAAAGAUUCUAGAAAUUUUCUAGAAUCAUCUUCCACCUCCUUAAACAUAAAAAUCUAGAUACUCUAAUAAAAUAAUCUAGAUAAUUUGAAUAAUGUAAUCUAAAUCUUAUGUAAGAACUCUCUAGACUUAGGAUUAAAAUAUUUUAGAUAUUUUGUAGUUUGGAGGCUAUAAAUACCUCCUCCCCCUCUCAAAUGUUGCAAUGUUGUGAAGUUAUCUUCAAGUUUAAAGCAAAGUAAUAAAAGUUCUAUUUCCAAAAAAACUCUCUCAAAACACUUAAACACUUUCUCCAUUACCUCUAAAAGAAUUUUACUCUAACAGACUGAUGAUCUGGAAAGGACCUGACCUCUUUGGUUACACAAUUUUCAGUCGUUGCUGAACCGGAUAUCAAUACUUUUGGUUAGACAAAUUGGAAAAAGAUAUCGGAAUGGUUUAGUAAAUCGUUUGAUAUAGUAACUAUACAUCACAAAUUCAGACUAUAUUUGUAAUUGAUUUUAGAAUAUUAGUACUCUUUUGUUUUUACUGAUUGUCUU
rnacentral:sRNA from 1 species